CGCGUAGGCGGGCCGCCAGGCCCGUGGUGAAAUCCCCCGGCUCAACCGGGGAAGUGCCGCGGGGACCGGCGGUCUGGAGUGAGAUAGGGGCGUACGGAACUGUGGGUGGAGCGGUGAAAUGCGUUGAUAUCCACAGGAACUCCGGUGGCGAAGGCGGCACGCUGGAUCUCUACUGACGCUGAGGCGCGAAAGCCAGGGGGAACGAACGG
rnacentral:rRNA from 1 species